rnacentral:rRNA from 1 species
UACUUGUAGUCAUAUGCUUGUCUCAAAGAUUAAGCCAUGCAUGUCUAAGUAUAAGCAAUUAUACAGCGAAACUGCGAAUGGCUCAUUAUAUAAGUUAUCGUUUAUUUGAUAGUACCUUACUACUUGGAUAACCGUGAUAAUUCUAGAGCUAAUACAUGCUAAAAAUCCCGACUUCGGAAGGGAUGUAUUUAUUAGAUUAAAAACCAAUGCCCUCCGGGGCUCACUGGUGAUUCAUGAUAACUUCUCGAAUCGCAUGGCCUUGCGCCGGCGAUGGUUCAUUCAAAUUUCUUCCCUAUCAACUUUCGAUGUUUGGGUAUUGGCCAAACAUGGUUGCAACGGGUAACGGGGAAUGGGGCGGGGGCGGCGGGCCGGGCGCGGGGCGCGGCGGGC